GGGCGCAUAGCUCAGUCUGGUUUAGAGCGUUUGCUUGACAUGCAAAAGGUCAGAGGUUCAAAUCCUCUUGCGCCCA
rnacentral:tRNA from 1 species